rnacentral:rRNA from 1 species
AACUCGACUACAUGAAGCUGGAAUCGCUAGUAAUCGCGAAUCAGAAUGUCGCGGUGAAUACGUUCCCGGGUCUUGUACACACCGCCCGUCACACCAUGGGAGUCAGCAACGCCCGAAGCCGGUGACCCAACCGAAAGGAGGGAGCCGUCGAAGGUGGGGCCGAUAACUGGGGUGAAGUCGUAACAAGGUAAC